GACCCCGACCCGUUGGAACCAGAAGGUUGAUGGUGUUCACUCCCGGUAACCUCACCACCAACCAAUCAGAAGAACGUCCACGCGCUGAUCACACGCCCACAGCCCCCCGCCCUCCCUCUUCCCUGAAAGCUUUCAGGAAGUUCGGGUCUUGUAAGCACUAGCCGCCUGGACUCCUUGCUGGGCGCUGGCAGUAAACGCUGCACUUUCCCUCAGCACAGCCUGGCGUCGGUGGAUUGGCGUGACUGUGCGCGGGCGAGUGGACCCAAGUUUGGUUUGGUAACAGUUUGAUGUGAAAGAUAAGACUGCACCAGGCAUUCUGCUCCAGGUAGACGCCCUGGACACGAGGACUCCUGGCCACCAGAGGCUUGGACAGCAAGGUUAGUAAUUGCCAAAAAGACUCUUCAUAAUUGCUGAAAGCUGGAAACAGCCCACUGUCCAUUGGCAGGUGGACCAAUAAAUAAAUUGUGACCAGUCUGGACAAUGGUCCAUCCAUCCAAGAAGAGGCGCAAACUGCCAAUUCCUGCAACAGCUGAAUCUCAGAACCAUUAAACUGAGUAAAGGGGCCAGACAUACAGUGCUACCUACUGUGUGACCCCAUUUGUGUGAAGUUCCAGGAGCAGCCUAAUUUACAGCGAUUGCUGGAUCAUACAGUCGUGAAACAGCUGAAUCUUCCUGGGAAUUGUCUUCACUGGGCAUCUGAGAAGAUCCCAGGGUCCAGGUUGAGUUAAGCUUCUGUGAUGAACCCUCUGGAAAUUCAGUCACAGCUUGAAGCUCCUCUUAGAUCUUUGGAUUCCCCAGAAAGUGAUGCUUAAGACUCCCAAAUUGCUACAAAGUAGGCUGGAAAGAACUGUAGAGUCCAGAAAGAGUGAAAAAAAAAAUCCAAACUUCAACCAACUGUGGAAUCAUAAGGAUUUCUCUGAAAAAGAGUUCUGCUACUAAAUAGAGAGGUUUCGAGGCUGUGACGGUUCCCGCUGGCUCCCGCAGUCUGUGAUGUGCGUCAGCUGCUGUCAUCCUCAAGUUACACUCCAUGACCCGUCAGCCCUCACCUCCCUGCACCCUCCCCUGCCCAUCUCACCCUGGGCCUUUGCACACAUUCCCUGCUCUCCUCCACCUCCUCGCUUGGUAGCCUGGCAACCUCGGCUCAUCCUUUAAGCCACAACUCAGGUAACUUCUCCUCCUGCAAUCCUUCCAGAUCUGCCCCAGACCUGCUGAAAGGCCUCCUCAGGGCUGCCACGGAUUACAAACUAUCUCCUUUCACAGUGCUUAUAGUACCUUUGUAAUUGCUUAUACACUUGCUUGUCUAUCAUCAGAGAAGGCCUGAGUUUAAAUCCCAGUUCUGCCCCUUCCCAGCUGUGUGGCCCUGAGUGAGUGACCUAACCUGUCUGUGCUUCAGUGUCUACAUCUCUAAAAUAGUGUCAGUGAACACAAAAUGCUUGCUGUGUGCCAGUCCCUGUCUUAUGUGCUUCAUUUAUUUAUUUAAUCCAUGCAACAUCCCUGAGAUUGGUACAAACCCAUUUAUUUUUAUGUUAAACAAAUGAGAAAACUGAGGCACAGAGAGGUUAAGUAACUUGCCUAACGUCACACAGCUUGUAAGUGGCAAGGCCAGUACUGAAACCAUGCAGUCCAACCAUGGAGAGAUUCUGCUGCCUUGCAGAAGAUACCUCAGCAGAUGUUGUGAGGUUAAUAUGAGUAAAUAAAUAAAGUUGCUUGGCAUAUAGUAAGUACUCAAUAAAUGUUCACGGUCUACGUUUCCCAGUGUCCCCUUCUCUGUCAGUUUAUGCUUAGGGAUUUAAACCUGGGGAUUUAAAAUAGGAAGUGGGCAUUUAAAAUUUUUAAAUUUUAUUUAUUUAUUUCAAAAAAUUGGGGAAGGGGAGGUAAUUAGGUUUGUUUGUUUAUUUAAUGGAGGUACUAGGGAUUGAACCCAGGACCUCAUGCAUGCUAAGCACACACUCUACCACUGAGCUAUACCUUCCCCCCAGAACCAGGCAUAUUUUUAGAGUUUUUUUCUUACCCUGUUCCCCAUUUACUGUCAUAGGAUCAUUACAUGUCAGCACUGGAUGGGGCAUGAAAUAGUGAGGACAAUCAUAAUAGCUAGCACUUAUUAAAUACUUACUAAAUGUCACUCUGCUAAUGUAUUUUUUAAAAUAGGUUUUAUUUUCUUAGGGCAGUUUUCUGUUCACAGUAAAAUUAAGCAGAAGUUACAGAGGUCUCUCAUAUAUCCCCUGCCCGCCCCCAACUUCCCCACUCAACAUCCCCCACCAGAUUGGUACAUGUUACAAUCGACAAGCCUGUAUUGACGCAUCAUUGUCACCCAAAGUCCAUUGUGCAUGUUAGGGUUCACUCUUGGGGUUGUCUGUUCCAAUCUUUUGCUCAUUAUUCAAUCAAUUGUUCAUUUUCUUAUUGUUGAAUUUUAAGAGUUCUUUGUAUAUUUUGGAUGCCUCUUGCAAAUAUUUUCUCUCAGUCUGUGGCAUGUUUUCUCAUUUUAUUGAUAGUGUCUUUCACAGAUCAGAAGUUUUUAACUUAAAUAAAGUUCAGCUUAUCAAUUCUUUCUUUCCUGGUGCUAUGGUCUGAAUGUUUGUGACCCCUCAAAAUAUAUAUGUUAAAUCCUACCCACUAAAGAUGACAGUAUUAGGGAGUGGGACCUUUAAGAGGUCCUUAAAUCAUGAGGGUGGAGCCCUCAUGAAUGGGGUUAGUGCCCUAUGAAAGAGGCUCCAGGGGGAUUUCUCAGCCCUUUCCACCUUGUGAGGAUAAAAGAAGUCUGGAACCCAGAAGAGGGUUCUCACCUAACCAUGCUGAGACUAUAACCUUGGACUUCCAGCUUCCAGAACUGUGAGAAUAAAUUUCUGCUGUUUAUAAGCUAUCCAGUCUGUGGUGUUUUGUUAUAGCAGCCUGCAUGAACUAAGACAUAUGGGUCAUGCUUUUGUGUUGUAUCUAAAAAGCUAUCACCGUGGGGGAAGGUAUAGCUCAGUGGUAGAGUGUAUGCUUAGCAUGCAAGAAGUCCUGAGU